rnacentral:rRNA from 1 species
UUCCGGUUGAUCCCGCCGGAGGCCACUGCUAUGGGGGUCCGACUAAGCCAUGCGAGUCAUGGGGCGCCUUGUGCGCACCGGCGGACGGCUCAGUAACACGUCGGUAACCUACCUUCGGGAGGGGGAUAACCCCGGGAAACUGGGGCUAAUCCCCCAUAGGCCUGAGGUACUGGAAGGUCCUCAGGCCGAAAGGGGCUCUGCCCGCCCGAGGAUGGGCCGGCGGCCGAUUAGGUAGUUGGUGGGGUAACGGCCCACCAAGCCGAAGAUCGGUACGGGCCAUGAGAGUGGGAGCCCGGAGAUGGACACUGAGACACGGGUCCAGGCCCUACGGGGCGCAGCAGGCGCGAAACCUCCGCAAUGCGGGCAACCGCGACGGGGGGACCCCCAGUGCCGUGGCAUCGCCACGGCUUUUCCGGAGUGUAAAGAGCUCCGGGAAUAAGGGCUGGGCAAGGCCGGUGGCAGCCGCCGCGGUAAUACCGGCGGCCCGAGUGGUGGCCGCUAUUAUUGGGCCUAAAGCGUCCGUAGCCGGGCCCGUAAGUCCCUGGCGAAAUCCCACGGCUCAACCGUGGGGCUUGCUGGGGAUACUGCGGGCCUUGGGACCGGGAGAGGCGGAGGGUACUCCUGGGGUAGGGGUGAAAUCCUAUAAUCCCAGGAGGACCGCCAGUGGCGAAGGCGCUCCGCUGGAACGGGUCCGACGGUGAGGGACGAAGGCCAGGGGAGCGAACCGGAUUAGAUACCCGGGUAGUCCUGGCUGUAAAGGAUGCGGGCUAGGUGUCGGGCGAGCUUCGUGCUCGCCCGGUGCCGAAGGGAAGCCGUUAAGCCCGCCGCCUGGGGAGUACGGCCGCAAGGCUGAAACUUAAAGGAAUUGGCGGGGGAGCACUACAAGGGGUGGAGCGUGCGGUUUAAUUGGAAUCAACGCCGGA